rnacentral:rRNA from 1 species
UACGUAGGUGGCAAGCGUUGUCCGGAUUUACUGGGCGUAAAGGAUGCGUAGGCGGAUAUUUAAGUGAGAUGUGAAAAUACCCGAGCUUAACUUGGGUGCUGCAUUUCAAACUGGAUAUCUAGAGUGUGGGAGAGGAGAAUGGAAUUCCUAGUGUAGCGGUGAAAUGCGUAGAGAUUGGAAGAACACCAGUGGCGAAGGGCGGCUCAACUGGUCCGGUACUGACGCUGAUGGUGCGAAAGCGUGGGGAGCAAACAGGG